rnacentral:rRNA from 1 species
CACGGAGCUUGCUCUGUGGGAUCAGUGGCGAACGGGUGAGUAACACGUGAGCAACCUGCCCCUGACUCUGGGAUAAGCGCUGGAAACGGCGUCUAAUACUGGAUAUGUGACGUGACCGCAUGGUCUGCGUCUGGAAAGAAUUUCGGUUGGGGAUGGGCUCGCGGCCUAUCAGCUUGUUGGUGAGGUAAUGGCUCACCAAGGCGUCGACGGGUAGCCGGCCUGAGAGGGUGACCGGCCACACUGGGACUGAGACACGGCCCAGACUCCUACGGGAGGCAGCAGUGGGGAAUAUUGCACAAUGGGCGCAAGCCUGAUGCAGCAACGCCGCGUGAGGGAUGACGGCCUUCGGGUUGUAAACCUCUUUUAGCAGGGAAGAAGCGAAAGUGACGGUACCUGCAGAAAAAGCGCCGGCUAACUACGUGCCAGCAGCCGCGGUAAUACGUAGGGCGCAAGCGUUAUCCGGAAUUAUUGGGCGUAAAGAGCUCGUAGGCGGUUUGUCGCGUCUGCUGUGAAAUCCGGAGGCUCAACCUCCGGCCUGCAGUGGGUACGGGCAGACUAGAGUGCGGUAGGGGAGAUUGGAAUUCCUGGUGUAGCGGUGGAAUGCGCAGAUAUCAGGAGGAACACCGAUGGCGAAGGCAGAUCUCUGGGCCGUAACUGACGCUGAGGAGCG